GGCUUUGUCGCUCGGCCGGUAGAGCGCUGGCAGCAUUGAGGUAUGGUGUUUCUGUUGCUGGUUCAAAUCCAGCCGAAGCUC